UACGUAGGGGGCAAGCGUUGUCCGGAAUCAUUGGGCGUAAAGAGCGUGUAGGCGGCCCGGUAAGUCUGUUGUGAAAGUCAAAGGCUCAACCUUUGAAAGCCGAUGGAUACUGUGAGGCUAGAGUCCGGAAGAGGCGAGUGGAAUUCCUGGUGUAGCGGUGGAAUGCGCAGAUAUCAGGAGGAACACCAAUAGCGAAGGCAGCUCGCUGGGACGGUACUGACGCUAAGGCGCGAAAAGCGUGGGGGAGCGAACAGG
rnacentral:rRNA from 1 species